rnacentral:rRNA from 1 species
UACGUAGGCAGCGAGCGUUGUUCGGAAUUACUGGGCGUAAAGAGUGUGUAGGCGGUGCUCUAAGUUUGGUGUGAAAUCUCCCGGCUCAACUGGGAGGGUGCGCCGAAAACUGGAGUGCUUGAGUGUGGGAGAGGCAAGCGGAAUUCCUGGUGUAGCGGUGAAAUGCGUAGAUAUCAGGAGGAACACCUGUGGUGUAGACAGCUUGCUGGACCAUAACUGACGCUGAGGCACGAAAGCGUGGGUAGCAAACAGG